ACUGUCGUUUGUAUCACAUACUGUACAUAACAUUGGGAAAAAUCAUUUAAAAUUUCUGCUCUUAUAUAAGUAGCAAAAUACCAUUUGCCUGCUGGCCCUAAUCCUGUAGAUAGGCUUGUGAGUACGUUCCUGCACAGCACAGUUAGUGGAACAGCUCAUGACACCCCAGGGAGACCAACACAAAGGAGAGAAAGCGAGGUAGCUAUUUGCAAACCAAUAGUACUACAAUGUCUAUCUCCAGGUUACUGAGAUCGAGUCAAUUUGAAAACAAGAUUGAGGGAGAAAUUCAUGUCAAUCAAUCAAGAAACCCCACAGACUUCACCAGAGGAUCACCUGGUGGGGAUGACCCUGGAAUUCUCACUGCCUGUUCAUCUUCGCAAGCUGUCACAGACCCUGAAACUAAAGGACCACGAUGGGCUGCAUCACCUCCAGAAGCAAGUGGGAACCUCAUCUCCAUGAUGACCACUCUGAGAAGUUCAGCCACAACUUGCUGUUAAUUCUGUCCAGUUGAUGCUUCAAAAUUAUGUCACCUAUCAGCUUUUAACGAACUUUAAACUUCUUCUCCAAUGCACAGUGAGUCACAUCAUCGUGUAGGCAUUGGUGGACUUACUAGAAAUGUGUGCUUCUUUAUUCAAAUACCUACAGCAAUCUUGUGCUUAACUCUGAGUUAUCUACAUUGCUUAUAUUUACAGUUUGAAAUAGCAAUUUGCAUGUAUCUGCAUACAUCAGAGUACUUCAUACAGGAUAUUUUUCCCACUUGCUUCGCAAAGAAUGAACAAUUCAAUUUACUCAUUUGCCAAGACACAAAUAUUCUUAGCUGAUUACAGUGGCAUGAUGUACUCUAUCAUCAGCUAGUAUUGUUAUCCUAACAACAAUAAAAUAGGCAAUAGCAGCA
rnacentral:lncRNA from 1 species